rnacentral:rRNA from 1 species
CCUACGGGAGGCAGCAGUGAGGAAUAUUGGUCAAUGGGCGCGAGCCUGAACCAGCCAAGUCGCGUGAGGGAAGACGGUCCUAUGGAUUGUAAACCUCUUUUGUCGGGGAGCAAAAGACGCCACGCGUGGCGUUCCGAGAGUACCCGAAGAAAAAACAUCGGCUAACUCCGUGCCAGCAGCCGCGGUAAUACGGAGGAUGUGAGCGUUAUCCGGAUUUAUUGGGUUUAAAGGGUGCGCAGGCGGAAGAUCAAGUCAGCGGUAAAAUUGAGAGGCUCAACCUCUUCGAGCCGUUGAAACUGGUGUUCUUGAGUGAGUGAGGAGUAUGCGGAAGGCGUGGUGUAGCGGUGAAAUGCAUAGAGAUCACGCAGAACUCCGAUUGCGAAGGCAGCAUACCGGCGCUCAACUGACGCUCAUGCACGAAAGUGUGGGUAUCGAACAGGAUUAGAUACCCGGGUAGUC